rnacentral:rRNA from 1 species
ACGAACGCUGGCGGCGUGCUUAACCCAUGCAAGUCGAACGGAAAGGCCCUGCUUUUGUGGGGUGCUCGAGUGGCGAACGGGUGAGUAACACGUGAGUAACCUGCCCUUGACUUUGGGAUAACUUCAGGAAACUGGGGCUAAUACCGGAUAGGAGCUCCUGCUGCAUGGUGGGGGUUGGAAAGUUUCGGCGGUUGGGGAUGGACUCGCGGCUUAUCAGCUUGUUGGUGGGGUAGUGGCUUACCAAGGCUUUGACGGGUAGCCGGCCUGAGAGGGUGACCGGCCACAUGGGGACUGAGAUACGGCGCAGACUCCUACGGGAGGCAGCAGUGGGGAAUAUUGCACAAUGGGCGGAAGCCUGAUGCAGCAACGCCGCGUGCGGGAUGACGGCCUUCUGGUUGUAAACCGCUUUCGCCUGUGACGAAGCGUGAGUGACGGUAAUGGGUAAAGAAGCACCGGCUAACUACGUG